GACAACGCUGGCGGCAGGCUUAACACAUGCAAGUUCGCACGAGAACGCUUCUGGCUUCGGCCGGGGCAAGUACAGUGGCGGACGGGUGCGUAUCGCGUAGAUAACCUGCCCUCAGGCGCGGGACAAUCACGGGAAACCGUGGCUAAUACCGCACGUCGUCUGGACCCCGCAUGGGGACCAGAUGAAAGCUUGGGGUUACCCAGGCGCCUUUGGAUGGGUCUGCGUUGGAUUAGCUUGUUGGUGAGGCAACGGCUCACCAAGGCGACGAUCCAUAGCUGGUCUGAGAGGACGAUCAGCCACACUGGGACUGAGACACGGCCCAGACUCCUACGGGAGGCAGCAGUGGGGAAUCUUGCACAAUGGGGUCACCCCUGAUGCAGCCAUGCCGCGUGGAGGAAGACACCCCUAUGGGGCGUAAACUCCUUUUCUGCAGGAAGAAAGCACUGGAUUUGUCCGGUGUUGACGGUACUGCAGGAAUAAGCACCGGCUAACUCCGUGCCAGCAGCCGCGGUAAUACGGAGGGUGCAAGCGUUGUCCGGAAUCAUUGGGUGUAAAGGGUGCGUAGGCGGACUGCUAAGUCUGGGGUGAAAUCUUGCCGCUUAACGGCAAAAGUGCCUUGGAUACUGGCAGUCUUGAGUGUGAUAGAGGUCGGUGGAAUUCGUAGUGUAGCGGUGAAAUGCAUAGAUAUUACGAAGAACACCAGUGGUGAAAACGGCCGGCUGGAUCACAACUGACGCUCAGGCACGAGAGCGUGGGGAGCGAACAGGAUUAGAUACCCUGGUAGUCCACGCUGUAAACGAUGUGUGCUAGGUGUUGGCCCUUUUGGGGUCAGUGCCGCAGCUAACGCGGUAAGCACACCACCUGGGGAGUACGUCGGCAACGAUGAAACUCAAAGGAAUUGACGGGGGCCCGCACAUGCGGUGGAGCAUGUGGCUUAAUUCGAUGCAACGCGAAGAACCUUACCCGGGCUAAAUCUGCGGUGACCGGUCCAGAAAUGGGCCUUCCCUUCGGGGCGCCACAGAAGGUGCUGCAUGGCUGUCGUCAGCUCGUGCCGUGAGGUGUUGGGUUAAGUCCCGCAACGAGCGCAACCCCUGUGGCUAGUUACCAGCGAGUAAUGUCGGGGACUCUAGCCGGACUGCCUACGCAAGUAGUGAGGAAGGUGGGGACGACGUCAAGUCAUCAUGGCCCUUACGUCCGGGGCUGCACACGUGCUACAAUGGAUGGUACAAAGGGAAGCUACACCGAGAGGUGAUGCUAAUCUCGAAAACCAUUCUCAGUUCGGAUUGGAGUCUGCAACUCGACUCCAUGAAGGUGGAAUCGCUAGUAAUCGCGUAUCAGCAACGACGCGGUGAAUACGUUCCCGGGCCUUGUACACACCGCCCGUCAAGCGAUGGAAGUGAGGAGUGCCUGACGAGGCUGAGCUAAUCCCUUCGGGGAAGGCAGGUCUCUAGGGUAAGACUCAUAACUGGCGCU
rnacentral:rRNA from 1 species